rnacentral:rRNA from 1 species
CGUAGGGUGCAAGCGUUAAUCGGAAUUACUGGGCGUAAAGCGUGCGCAGGCGGUGAUGCAAGACAGAUGUGAAAUCCCCGGCUUAACCUGGACUGCAUUGUGACUGCAUCGCUGGAGUGCGGCGAGAGGGGGAUGGAAUUCCGCGUGUAGCAGUGAAAUGCGUAGAUAUGCGGAGGACACCGAUGGCGAAGGCAAUCCCCUGGGCCUGCACUGACGCUCAUGCACGAAAGCGUGGGGAGCAAACAGGAUU